CUAUAAAGCUGGGUGGAACUAACAAAGGGGUGAAGAUUGUUGCAGAGGGACACCGGCCUCGUCUUCCCUUCUAGAAGUGCAUGCUUAAAUGAAGAUGAAUAAAGAUGAAUAAAGAUUUUGUAAGAAUAACUACUGAAGUUCCGGUGCCGUUUCUGGAUCCCUCGACGAAUCAAAGAACCGGGAUUCAGCUCGUCCUGGAAAGGGACGACCAUGCUGCGUUGGCGUCACCACCUCUGAUAUGAGUGCUGCUGUGGUGGGGGAGACAUAUCGUGAGCAGGCUGCAAGACCACCCUGUGUGAAGGAUAUAAUUUUCAACACAAAAACAGGAACGCUUUCUGCUGAUCCAAAAGCUCAGUGGUUCAAGGAUCUCACUGCCAAAAUGACGAAUGUGUCUCCCACAAAGGCUCCAGUCCGUGAUGAAACAUUGUACCCCUUCUGCGUUAUCAGGAUCUGCCCGUAGUCACUUAUACUUGUCGUAUUGCUUCCUUGUGAUUUUUUUAAUAUUUGUACUUUAAAUUUUUAAGGUUACUUCACUCUGUUCUUACUAACUGUGUUGUAUUUUAUUCUUGAUGUCGGAUUUGAGUCAUGACUUGAUUUUAAAGUGAUGCUUAAUGCUGAAAUUUAGAUGGACCAAUUGAGUUCUUCUUAUUAUGUUAAUCUUGGAAUUGUCUUUUAUUCUUUUUUUCUGCUUAUAUGACUCCUGCUACGUCCACGAGAUGGAAGUGUAGAGGAGGGUGUGAGGAGGAAUAAAGCUGGGAGAGAAAGAAAGAAGUAAAGCAGAGCAGAAAUGGUUAAAUUGUAAACGUUAUUCUUAACAGAAAGAGACAACAAUGCUGCUAGAUCAAUAUCAAAAGAAAAAGAAAACACAACACAAAUUCACCCGUCUAAAGAGAGGGAAAACACAAGCAACAACUAAAAUGCAUUUCAGUGGCCCACAAGCUCACUACUCACUAGUUCCAGGCAAAACAAAUCCACACUGUCAUGGUCCUGGGUCGAGCGACCCAGUGUUUGAGUUUUAUGUAUCUUUUGUAUUCAUUUGUGCCUUAGCUUAGUUCACCUAGUUUAUUUCUAGAUUGCAGUUUAGUCUUGUUCCUUAGUUGUUUAUGUCAUCUCCCCCUGUACUAAGUCUCCCUGGUUCAUGCAUCAUGUCUGCGUGGUUAUGUUUACUUCAUGUCAUGUCUAAUCUCAUGUUUCCUGUUUUCCUUUGAAAGUCUGUAUUCAAUGUCAGUGUAUUUAGUUUCACCUCUCCUGUCCUGUCGCUAGGUUCAUGUGUGUCAGCUGUGCUCCCAUGUGUGGCCACUUCCCCUGAUCAUCCCUCAUGUGUAUUUAGUCUCUGUGUUUCAUGCAGUCUGUGUCGCGUCGUCUGUGUUCCCACCCUCCAUGUUGUCACAGCCAGUCUUUGUAUUCAUAGUUAUGGUUUCCUGUGUCUUCAUAGUUUAUCCUAGUAUCACUUUCCCAGUUUAGUUAUAGUUUAGUUUUGUCACUGCGCUUCUGCCUUGUUUGCACUCCUUGUCACCAGCCACAAUAAAGGCUCGCUUUUCGUUCGAACUCAG